AUACCUUUCUCGGCCUUUUGGCUAAGAUCAAGUGUAGUAUCUGUUCUUAUCAGUUUAAUAUCUGAUAUGUGGGCCAAUGGCCCACGCGAUAUUAAAUUAAUUUUUUAUAGGGGAGAAUAUAGUUGGUAGCUUGCUGCCAGGGUUCCCAGGCGUUGUCCGUGUGCUGCACUAUCGCAAGGACUGGCGCACCCUAC